rnacentral:rRNA from 1 species
GUGCCAGCAGCCGCGGUAAUACCGGCAGCUCAAGUGAUGUCCCAUAUUAUUGGGCCUAAAGCGUCCGUAGCUGGCCGAACAAGUCCGUCGGGAAAUCCACCUGCCCAACAGGUGGGCGUCCGGCGGAAACUGUGUGGCUUGGAACCGGAAGGCUCAGAGGGUACGUUCGGGGUAGGAGUGAAAUCCCAUAAUCCCGCACGGACCACCGAUGGCGAAAGCACUUCGAGAAAACGGAUCCGACAGUGAGGGACGAAAGCCAGGGUCUCCAACCGGAUUAGAAACCCGAGUGUCC